rnacentral:misc_RNA from 1 species
AAGUCGUAACAAGGUUUCCGUAGGUGAACCUGCGGAAGGAUCAUUACAUUCAGUAGCCUAGCUACUUGUUUACACCCUUGUUUUUUGUGUACCUAUUGUUUCCUCGGUGGGCUUGCCUGCCGGUUGGACAAAACCUAUAACCUUUUUAAAUCUUCAAUCAGCGUCUGAAUUAUACAUAAUAAUUACAACUUUCAACAACGGAUCUCUUGGUUCUG